AAAAACCAUUAUCAGGGGAAAGCGUAGUGGAGAAGUCCAACUCCCACUGAGCCAAAGAAAAUGCAAGGAAGCCCUGUGGACCAUCACGGUCACACCAGCCUCUGCUGUGAUCUGUAAUUCUGUCCUUGAUGAUGAUCCAGUUAAAAAUAAGGCCCUGUGUCCAGGGUGUUUGGUUUGGUUUGGUUUUUAAUGCCCUGCCACCCACUCUUGGAAAACAAGGUGAUGAAUGCUUUCCACCACCAACAGACUGACUAAAACAUUGAUUUAGCCCUGAUCUGCAAUGUAUUCAUGGCCAAUGUCACUGGGCCAGUGGAUCUGGAUUGCAUCCAUAGCCAGUGAUUUCUUCUUCCCCUUUCCCUCUUAGCAGAUUCUUGGUUAUUCCUUGUAGCUGUGCCCCUGCCUGUCCUUACAUUUCUCCUCAUCUUCCAUGCAGUAAGUGACAGGGCGAACCAACUUUCACUUAUUACUGGCAUAUCCAUCCCCCUAAGCAAGUCAUUUGCCAGGUGUUUGUGUUCACCCACGUCUCCUACAUGGCAGAUACAAUGACCAAUGGCUGCUCUUGUCACUUCUGAGAUGCUACUAUGGCUUACCAAUAAAUGUGGGACUUCUGGCAGUUUUUUAUAAUAACCUGAUUUCCUUAUUUCAAAUGUCUAUAUGCUUUUUCCUUGACCCGUUGACCCUUUUAUGGUAAAGAGGAGGCCAAGCACACAAUGAUGCCUGAGAUUAGUAUCCACUGCUCUGCCUGAGAGAUGUGCAUCCAUACUUGACAUUUGAGAUUAUUUCUAUCCCAAUAGAACAGAGGUCAUACUGUUCAGACGUAUAUGGCUUGGUGGGGGUGCUUGCUUUUUGCAACCAUUAUCUAUGCAUACUGCAUGACAUAUGUACAAGAACCUUCAUGUCAUAACUACACCAUCAGGGUAAACUGAAGAAAGCACAUGGACUUGUCAAGUCAGAAGCUGGCAAUUGCAAAGUUAAACUCAGUAAUUAAAAAGACAUUAAAGAUUUUAGCCCAAAGGCAAGGCUCAAGGCCUCAAAGCUCAAGGAUGCUCUUGAUUGCCACAAAAUUCAGAAUCAAGAUUUCUUGUCUCUCCAUGAGCCCAAACUUACCAGUUGCUUAUCUGUAGUGAAAGGAUGGAUUGCUAUUCUAUCUCCAUAAAGUAUCAUAUAAAGCAGUUGGCUUGCACUGAAGAGCCACAUUGUCUGAGUGUGCUAUUUGUAGAAUUCCUAUUCUACACUAUUGGUCACCAUCACAUGUUCCCAUGAUGCAUCCAUUGUCAAAGAUGCAGAAAUGUGAGCCUGUUUCAAAAACCUGACCGUAGCAUCAGAUAGCUUUGAAGAGAAAGGUACAGUACCUGGCCAUAGGUAGUAACCAAGGGGGUUUUAUUAGUGUGCUCAUGAUUGAGUUGUUGAGUAUAUUUUUCUUCCUUGAUCCUGUGAAAUUCUCCAGGCUAAGGUUUCUACCACAUUAGACUGAGCAUCACCUACUCCUCAACUCAAAUUGAUUUCCAUUGUAUUUUCCGUGGUGUUGACAAGAGGCACUUGUUUAUCUGCCCUUGGGCUAUGAAACAAGUUAACAAGUACAACAGAUAAAUCCAUCUUUCACCCCAAAACCAGCCUGCAGCUUCCCAGCUGCAAAGAGCAGCUUAGAGGCAUGUAGGAGUGCAGGGCCUGGCCGAGGGUGUCACCAGUCCCACUGAGGUCUGCUCUCAUGAUGCAAAGCAAAUGACAAAACAGGGCAAGAAGGCUGCACGAUCGUCUGAGGGGGGAUGCCGUUCUACAGGAGGCCUCUGAUGGCCUGUGCAUUGUCUUUUUUGUGGGGUCACUGUCUCCUCUCUCAACUCUUAUCAAUCAAUCUUGGUCUCCACUGAGGAUCUACAGUCUCUGGGUUUGAGUGAACUUUGGCCACCUGCUAGGUGGUGCCUUUUAUAACCCUCAGGUGAAUCCUUCACCUAGAAGAACCAGUCUGAAAGUCAACAGAGCUUUAACAAACAAUUCUCUUGUUUUGCAGAGAGAGGAUGCAAGCCAUGGAGAAGCAGAUUGCCAGUCUAACUGGCCUUGUUCAGUCUGCGCUUUUUAAAGGGCCCAUUACAAGUAGUAGCAAAGAGGCGUCUAGG
rnacentral:lncRNA from 1 species